rnacentral:rRNA from 1 species
GAUGAACGCUGGCGGCGUGCCUAAUACAUGCAAGUUGUGCGGUAACAGAGAGAGCUUGCUCUCUGCUGACGAGCGGCGGACGGCAGAGUAACGCGUAGGAACAUACCCCAAACUGAGGGAUAACUGCUCGAAAGAGUAGCUAAUACCGCAUGUGGUCUUCGGAUUAAAAGCUUCGGCGGUUUGGGAGUGGCCUGCGUCCGAUUAGCUAGUUGGUGAGGUAAUUGCUCACCAAGGCGACGAUCGGUAGCUGGUCUGAGAGGAUGAUCAGCCUGACUGGAACUGAGAACGGUCCAGACUCCUACGGGAGGCAGCAGUAGGGAAUUUUCCACAAUGGGCGAAAGCCUGAUGGAGCAACGCCGCGUGCAGGAUGAAUGCCUUCGGGUUGUAAACUGCUUUUCUGUGUGAAGAAUAUGACGGUAACACAGGAAUAAGGGUCGGCGUAACUACGUAGCCAGCAGCCGCGGUAAU